rnacentral:rRNA from 1 species
UGGGGGAUAUUGCACAAUGGGCGAAAGCCUGAUGCAGCGACGCCGCGUGGGGGAUGAAGGCCUUCGGGUUGUAAACUUCUUUUGCUCUGAACAAGGCGCACCAUGGGGUGUGUUGAGUGUAGGGGUUGAUUAGCGCCGGCUAACUACGUGCCAGCAGCCGCGGUAAUACGUAGGGCGCGAGCGUUGUCCGGAAUUAUUGGGCGUAAAGGGCUUGUAGGUGGCUGGUUGCGUCUGUCGUGAAAGCUCAUGGCUUAACUGUGGGUUUGCGGUGGGUACGGGCUGGCUUGAGUGCAGUAGGGGAGGCUGGAAGUCCUGGUGUAGCGGUGGAAUGCGCAGAUUUCAGGAGGAAUACCGGUGGCGAAGGCGGGUCUCUGGGCUGUUACUGACACUGAGGAGCGAAAGCAUGGGGAGCGAACAGG